CGCUGGUUCGCUUAGCCGGCAAAGCGCCCGUCUGAAAAGCGGGAGCCCCAGGUUCGAGUCCUGGACCAGCGG
rnacentral:tRNA from 1 species